ensembl:misc_RNA Metazoa_SRP Metazoan signal recognition particle RNA
GCUGGGCGUGGUGGCGUGCACCUGUAAUCCCAGCUACUCAGGAGGCUGAGGCAGGAGAAUUGCUUGAAUCCAGGAGGCAGAGGUUGCAGUGAGCCGAGAUUGUGCCACUGCACUCCAGCCUGGGUGACACAGCAAGACUCUGUCUCAA